GCUGCGGUGUCCGAGUAGUAGUUAAGGAGAUGGACUUGAAAUCCGUUGGACUCUGCCCGCACAGGUUCGAAUCCUGUCCGCAGCG